rnacentral:tRNA from 1 species
GAGGGUAUAGCUCAGUGGUAGAGCGCCUGCUUAGCAUGUACUACAUCCGGGGUUCAAUCCCCAGUACCUCCC